UGCAUUCACUACUGUAAGUCGCUCUGGAUAAGAGUGUCUGCUAAAUGACCUAAA
rfam:Salmo salar isolate Sally breed double haploid chromosome ssa12, whole genome shotgun sequence.